CAUGUUUGGUUUGGAGAACUGACCAUGUCACUUGGAGUGAGGAAUAGGAGGUAGAAGAAGUGGGUUAGCGCAGGGGUUCAUUCUCAUUGGAGGACGUGGCUCUCUACAAUGGCGCACUUAUGUUUAUUUGAACUGAUGCUGAUGGAGGAGUCUUCCCUAGCUUCCCCCAUGCCUUCUGGCAGGUUCCUCUUCCAAAUAAGGCUGUGGCAGAAACUGGGAGUUGGAGUCAGACCUGAUGUGAUGUCCUGUCCUCACUGCCAGCCCCUCCUGAGCCUCCUGCACUGGAUCCCCUUCCCCACAACUUCUCAAUGUUGGACGGCCCUGGAACCCUGUCCUAAGACCACUUCUCUGGUCCAGCUGACCUCAUUUCCCAGAUUGUUUGAUUAUGGGAUCAAGCUGCAAUUUCCUCUGACCUUCUGAGAACUAUGUACCCAUUUAGAACCCACAUCAGAGCUUUUCCAGAAUGGUUUUCCUUGGGCAUUUUAAUCCCCCUCUGAAAGACACUCUGACUCACUGGCUGCUGAGACUCCAGUACUUCUGCUUCAAUAACCGGUUCUUCCCGGUGGAGCUGGAGGACUCUGUGUUCAGUGGAAUAACACAAUGAUGGUGACCAGAAGUGAACCCAGCCUCAUUCUCUUCACGGCUCCUUCCCUGACAUGCUGGCUUCACCUGCCUCACUUCUGUUCUCAGCAGUUCACAGGGCAGUCCAGGUGAGCAGUUUUUGACUCUGUCCUAUCCUGAAGUGACCACAGGGACAGUGCCUGGUAUCUGCCAUGAACCAUUGAGGGGCAAUGAAGCAGCGGUCAGGGCAGAGGUAGAACCGCACAUUCAUGAGGGCCGUGGCCCACAGCAGCCGGCCGCUGGGGCACCUCUUGGCAGGUGAGAUUUCUCCUGC